rnacentral:rRNA from 1 species
AGUGAACGCUGGCGGUAGGCCUAACACAUGCAAGUCGAACGGCAGCACAGUAAGAGCUUGCUCUUACGGGUGGCGAGUGGCGGACGGGUGAGGAAUACAUUGGAAUCUACUUUUUCGUGGGGGAUAACGUAGGGAAACUUGCGCUAAUACCGCAUACGACCUACGGGUGAAAGCAGGGGAUCUUCGGACCUUGCGCGAUUGAAUGAGCCGAUGUCGGAUUAGCUAGUUGGCGGGGUAAAGGCCCACCAAGGCGACGAUCCGUAGCUGGUCUGAGAGGAUGAUCAGCCACACUGGAACUGAGACACGGUCCAGACUCCUACGGGAGGCAGCAGUGGGGAAUAUUGGACAAUGGGCGCAAGCCUGAUCCAGCCAUACCGCGUGGGUGAAGAAGGCCUUCGGGUUGUAAAGCCCUUUUGUUGGGAAAGAAAAGCAGCAGGUUAAUACGCCGCUGUUCUGACGGUACCCAAAGAAUAAGCACCGGCUAACUUCGUG